rnacentral:rRNA from 1 species
AACGAACGCUGGCGGCAUGCCUAACACAUGCAAGUCGAACGAGACCUUCGGGUCUAGUGGCGCACGGGUGCGAAACGCGUGGGAACCUGCCCUUAGGUUCGGAAUAACUCCCCGAAAGGGGUGCUAAUACCGGAUAAUGUCUUCGGACCAAAGAUUUAUCGCCUUGGGAUGGGCCCGCGUUGGAUUAGCUAGUUGGUAGGGUAAAAGCCUACCAAGGCGACGAUCCAUAGCUGGGCUGAGAGGAUGAUCAGCCACACUGGGACUGAGACACGGCCCAGACUCCUACGGGAGGCAGCAGUGGGGAAUAUUGGACAGUGGGCGAAAGCCUGAUCCAGCAAUGCCGCGUGAGUGAUGAAGGCCUUAGGGUUGUAAAGCUCUUUUACCCGGGAUGAUAAUGACAGUACCGGGAGAAUAAGCUCCGGCUAACUCCGUG